ACUCCUACGGGAGGCAGCAGUGGGGAAUUUUGGACAAUGGGCGAAAGCCUGAUCCAGCAAUGCCGCGUGAGUGAAGAAGGCCUUCGGGUUGUAAAGCUCUUUUGUCAGGGAAGAAACUGUGAAAGCUAAUAUCUUUUGCUAAUGACGGUACCUGAAGAAUAAGCACCGGCUAACUACGUGCCAGCAGCCGCGGUAAUACGUAGGGUGCAAGCGUUAAUCGGAAUUACUGGGCGUAAAGCGUGCGCAGGCGGUUUUGUAAGUCUGAUGUGAAAUCCCCGGGCUCAACCUGGGAAUUGCAUUGGAGACUGCAAGGCUAGAAUCUGGCAGAGGGGGGUAGAAUUCCACGUGUAGCAGUGAAAUGCGUAGAUAUGUGGAGGAACACCGAUGGCGAAGGCAGCCCCCUGGGUCAAGAUUGACGCUCAUGCACGAAAGCGUGGGGAGCAAACAGGAUUAGAAACCCGAGUAGUCCCAU
rnacentral:rRNA from 1 species